GAGGGUACAGCUCAGUGGUAGAACACGUGCUUAGCAUUCACGAGGUCCUGGGUUCAAUCCCCAGUAUCUCCA
rnacentral:tRNA from 1 species